UCCUUAGUAGUUCAGUGGUAGAGCGGUCGACUGUUAAUCGGUUGGUUGUAGGUUUGAAUCCUACAUGGGGAG
rnacentral:tRNA from 1 species